UCCAGAGGGUGCGAGCGUUAAUCGGAAUUACUGGGCGUAAAGCGCACGUAGUCGGCUUUGCAAGUCGGGUGUGAAAUCCCCGGGCUCAACCUGGGAACUGCAUCCGAGACUGCAUUGCUAGAGUAUGGGAGAGGGUAGCGGAAUUUCUGGUGUAGCAGUGAAAUGCGUAGAUAUCAGAAGGAACACCGGUGGCGAAGGCGGGUCUCUGGGCCGAUAUUGACGCUGAGGAGCGAAAGCGUGGGGAGCAAACAGG
rnacentral:rRNA from 1 species